GGGGACGACCUGGUUUCGACGUGGGUUGCAAAGCAGAACAGGGCAUACCGAGGGCUGGUUACCUCGUAAAUACACCCAGAAAAACUUAACUGCAAACGAUAACUCGUACGCACUGGCAGCCUAAGGGCUGUUAGCUCCUAAACGCUUCUUCCCUGGGGCGGACCGUCAAAAGUCAUGGAGUCAUUUACAGGGAAUCGUGUCUUGCCGGGUCACUUGGCAAAACACUAAAUAAUAGGUGACUCGCCUGUCCGUAGCGUGCGCGUCCGCGCCGUACAGGUUAAAUUAAUUGGCAGCGCUAAGUAUGUAGAACUGUCUGUAGAGUGCUUGCGGACGCGGGUUCGAUUCCCGCCGUCUCCACCA
rnacentral:tmRNA from 1 species